CGGUUCUCGUACGAUCACUGAAGUUAAGCAACCUCGAUCCCGGUCAGUACCUAGAUGGGUAACCGCUUGAGAAUACCAGGU